AAGCUCUCAGCUCAUCUUCACACACGUGGCCUGAUCUGAGUUCAUCAGCUGUAAAUCCACAGUCCACCAUCAGCACAUUCACAGAUCAUCACGUCUCCUCAGACUCGUUCAUGAUCAUCAUCACUGCGGAGGCUUCAGUUCUGCUCCUGAUUGGUCUCCCGCUGCUCAUCCUGGCUGUACGGCAGAGAAAGAAGACUGACGGUCUGCACUCCUCAGAGUUCACUACAAGCAUUUAUCAACAGAUGAAAGAUAAUCCAGCAGACAGAGACACACACACUACUGUGUGUUACAGCUGUGUUUAAGUAAAGUCUAUUUUUGAGAGGAUCACGUGCUUAUGAUUGUCCACGGCUGGUCUCGCAUUAGCAUCAGAAGAUUCCUAUCUCACCAUAAACAACCAGAGUUUCUUACAGCAGUCAUUUUCGUCUUCAAGGAUCCCCCCUGUCCACCCCUAAUCUUCUCUUUUCCUAGAUGACUCGGUGGCUCAGUAGUUAGCACUGUUGCCUCACAGCAAGAAUGUCACUCAUUCAAGCCCUGAAGUUUCUGUGUGGAGUUUACAUGUUCUCCCUGUGCUUGUGUGUGUUUCCCUUGGGUUCACCGGUUUUCUACCACAGUCCAAAGACAUGCGACAUAGAUAAGCUCUUAGCCAGCAGUAUACCUCUCCAUAGCAAUCCAUGUAGUCUGUCUUUAGCCUUAAAUAAGGGGAGUUCUCAAGAUUUACCUGAGCUCAGAAUCCCCUCUAGCCCUGCAAACCUGAGGGAGCCUUGAGCUUGAGCAUCUUAUGAGCUCAGGGCUCUCUCCCGGGACAGCAUGCCAAACUAGCUUUAUUAUCAAUCAUCAGCUAAGUGUGAACUCUUGAAUGAACUACUAUAACAAAUGAGACUCAAGAACUGAUUAAUCAACAACACCAACAACACAAACCAGCUCACACUGAUUUACUCCAUCAUAUAAGCUUAUUAAUAACCAAAAUAACUGAAUAAUCAAUCAUGUUAUACUGCUGAUUUUCACU